GGAUUUGUGUACAUGGUCACCGCCCUAACGUUCUCUCAUCUCCCUAUAAGCGUAAUCAAUAACCAGUCUUUCCAGAAAAACCUACUCCUCCACCCUCUCUCUUCCAUUACGUCUCCACCUAUCACCGCUCCCUCCACCAAUACUAUUCUUCCACUUUCAAUUGUAUGUACCCGUCUUCCGUCUAUACCGUCACCAGCAACCCACUGUUGGUGCAUCGCCUGUGACACAUCCCCCAACGCACCACCAUCGACUCCCCUUACUGUCACGGACCAUCGGCUUGGUCGACACUAGAUUAUCACAAUCUCAUAACCCCCACUACUCGCCACUAUUUACCCCCACCAGCACAGCUAUAGAAAAACUGAAAUUGGAGGGUUUCUAGUAUGGUUACUUCGCCAUUGGGUCUUACGUGCAUCGAAUGGAACGAAACCCUUGUUUCUAGGAACGUAAUAGAUCAAAUUGAAGUUUGUAAAGAAAUGAAAGUAACAUGAACGCCUCUUUAAUCCAAUCGAUUAUCGAUUGCGAAUGUGGUGUGUUUCGAGUUCUUCUCGACCAAUUGCAUCAGCUGUGUCUCUUUACCCUAUUUCUUGGGUUUGCCCGGUAACUUCGAUUCACCAGAUGUACCUCACACCGCUUUCUUUAUUCUUUUAUUUUUGAUUAAAUCGAUUGUCAUCAGGACACCUCAAUUUCUUGCAACUCCAUCGAAAUAUCAGAGAUGGUCGACAACAUAUCAAAUAUUUCAAUGGCUUAUUUACUUGAACAAAAGAAGCUAGAAGAUUAUUCAUUAUGAUUUGAAGCCUGGAAAUGUCCUUUUUGAUGAAUUUGGUGUUGCAAAAGUAACUGAUUUUGGACUUAGUAAGAUUGUAGAGGAUGAUGUUGGAUCCCAAGGCAUGGAGCUUACUUCUCAGGGUGUUGGAACAUAUUGGCUAACUCAAAAACAGAAGAAACUGCGUCAUGUGUAGCACUAUGAUGAUUUUAUCUCUACAUGAAAGCUAAAAUCAUCUCUUUUGUAAUAUUAUACAGAAAUUAACCCUUGCUUAUAUUUCUUUGUGUUGUGACUUUUGUAGUCUCUAGAGCCGUAAAGAUAAUCUUGCCACAUGCCAAUUGGAGCUUGAAGCUACAAAGUCAAAAAUUCAAAAGUGGCAUUCUGCAUUUAAGAACGACUCCUACAUUACAACAGUCUAUAGUUUGGGAUUUAAGAUCACAACUCAAGCCUCCAUCAAUGCAGAUCCAUGUGUCAAUAUAUGAUUG